rnacentral:rRNA from 1 species
GACGAACGCUGGCGGCGUUCUUAACACAUGCAAGUCGAGCGGAGCGGCGGACGGGUGAGUAACGCGUGAGUUACUUCCCCCCUCUCUAGGAUCACAGUUGGAAACGGCUGCUAAUACCGGAUAGUGGGGGAUGACUCGCGUCCUAUCAGCUUGUUGGUGGGGUAGUGGCAUACCAAGGCGACGACGGGUAGACGGCCUGAGAGGGCGAACGGCCACAUUGGGCUGGGAUACGGCCCAGACUGCUACGGGAGGCAGCAGUGGGGGAGAGUGCACAAUGGGCGAAAGCCUGAUGCAGCGACGCCGCGUGGGGGAUGAAGGCGUUCGGGUUGGAAACCUCUGUCGCGAUCGACGGGGUAGGUGGAGAAGAAGCGCCGGCUAACUACGUGCCAGCAGCCGCGGUAAUAC